UACGUAGGGUGCGAGCGUUGUCCGGAAUUACUGGGCGUAAAGCGCACGCAGGCGGUCUGUCAAGUCGGAUGUGAAAUCCCCGGGCUCAACCUGGGAACUGCAUUCGAAACUGGCAGGCUAGAGUCUUGUAGAGGGGGGUAGAAUUCCAGGUGUAGCGGUGAAAUGCGUAGAGAUCUGGAGGAAUACCGGUGGCGAAGGCGGCCCCCUGGACAAAGACUGACGCUCAGGUGCGAAAGCGUGGGGAGCGAACAGG
rnacentral:rRNA from 1 species